UACGAAGGGGGCUAGCGUUGCUCGGAAUUACUGGGCGUAAAGCGCACGUAGGCGGCUUUCUAAGUCGGGGGUGAAACCCUGGAGCUCAACCCUCAGAACUGCCUUCGAUACUGGAGAGCUCGAGUCCGGGAGAGGUGAGUGGAACUGCGAGUGUAGAGGUGAAAUUCGUAGAUAUUCGCAAGAACACCAGUGGCGAAAGGCGGCUCACUGGCCCGGUACUGACGCUGAGGUGCGAAAGCGUGGGGAGCAAACAGG
rnacentral:rRNA from 1 species